rnacentral:rRNA from 1 species
GACGAACGCUGGCGGCGUGCUUAACACAUGCAAGUCGAACGGUGAAGGAGAGCUUGCUCUCCGGAUCAGUGGCGAACGGGUGAGUAACACGUGGGCAACCUGCCCCAGACUUCGGGAUAACGCUUCGAAAGAGGUGCUAAUACCGGAUACGAACUCCUUGGGCAUCCUUGGAGUUGGAAAGUUUUUCGGUCUGGGAUGGGCCAGCGGCCUAUCAGCUUGUUGGUGAGGUAACGGCUCACCAAGGCGACGACGGGUAGCCGGCCUGAGAGGGCGACCGGCCACACUGGGACUGAGACACGGCCCAGACUCCUACGGGAGGCAGCAGUGGGGAAUAUUGCGCAAGGGGCGAAAGCCUGACGCAGCAACGCCGCGUGAGGGAUGACGGCCUUCGGAUUGUAAACCUCUUUCAGCAGGGAAGAAGCGAAAGUGACGGUACCUGCAGAAGAAGCACCGGCUAACUACGUGCCAGCAGCCGCCGUAA